AAAUCAACCGAGAUUCCCCCAGUAGCGGCGAGCGAACGGGGAGGAGCCCAGAGCCUGAAUCAGUGUGUGUGUUAGUGGAAGCGUCUGGAAAGGCGUGCGAUACAGGGUGACAGCCCCGUACACAAAAAUGCACAUAUUGUGAGCUCGAUGAGUAGGGCGGGACACGUGGUAUCCUGUCUGAAUAUGGGGGGACCAUCCUCCAAGGCUAAAUACUCCUGACUGACCGAUAGUGAACCAGUACCGUGAGGGAAAGGCGAAAAGAACCCCGGCGAGGGGAGUGAAAAAGAACCUGAAACCGUGUACGUACAAGCAGUGGGAGCCUCUUAAUGGGGUGACUGCGUACCUUUUGUAUAAUGGGUCAGCGACUUAUAUUCUGUAGCAAGGUUAACCGAAUAGGGGAGCCGAAGGGAAACCGAGUCUUAACUGGGCGUUAAGUUGCAGGGUAUAGACCCGAAACCCGGUGAUCUAGCCAUGGGCAGGUUGAAGGUUGGGUAACACUAACUGGAGGACCGAACCGACUAAUGUUGAAAAAUUAGCGGAUGACUUGUGGCUGGGGGUGAAAGGCCAAUCAAACCGGGAGAUAGCUGGUUCUCCCCGAAAGCUAUUUAGGUAGCGCCUCGUGAAUUCAUCUCCGGGGGUAGAGCACUGUUUCGGCAAGGGGGUCAUCCCGACUUACCAACCCGAUGCAAACUGCGAAUACCGGAGAAUGUUAUCACGGGAGACACACGGCGGGUGCUAACGUCCGUCGUGAAGAGGGAAACAACCCAGACCGCCAGCUAAGGUCCCAAAGUCAUGGUUAAGUGGGAAACGAUGUGGGAAGGCCCAGACAGCCAGGAUGUUGGCUUAGAAGCAGCCAUCAUUUAAAGAAAGCGUAAUAGCUCACUGGUCGAGUCGGCCUGCGCGGAAGAUGUAACGGGGCUAAACCAUGCACCGAAGCUGCGGCAGCGACGCUUAUGCGUUGUUGGGUAGGGGAGCGUUC
rnacentral:rRNA from 1 species